rnacentral:sRNA from 1 species
UUUUUAACACACACACACAUCGGCACAUGCUCUAGGGUGCUCUUCGGAGUUGGAGACAUGGGAUGUGUGGAGGCCUAAC